rnacentral:lncRNA from 10 species
CCGCUCCGUUGUCCCCUGCAGCGGCAGGCGCUGGAGAACUCGGCUGCAGUCAUUAGAGCCGGGAGUUGGCGACUGUUGGGGCCUUGUGUGGGGAUGAGCUGUUAGGACUUUCCUGCCUUUAAAGAACAGGGACUGGUAAAAUCGUAUAUAUGAAAUCAAAGCAAAGAGGAACCUGUUUUAGAGGUGAACAAGAGAGAGCUCAGAGAAGCGCAUUAGGGACAUAUGGCAUUUGUCAAUCAAACGCAGAGCAACCUUCAAAAAGCCAUUAGAAGGCAGCCCCAUGCCGGUUCCGCCAUUUGUGCCGGCUGAGGGCUCCCCCGUCCCGCAGGCCCCACAGACGCUCUGUUUCUGGGACUAAUUAGCCUUCCAGAGGGCAAUCAAGGGCCUCUGCUGGAACUUUCUUAGGAACUGAGCCGUUAGAUGGCUUCAAAUGGACACCACUAGAAACAGGCAGGAGCCAAUUAGGCAGCGGCUCCCUCCCGGGGCCCGGCCAGGCUGCAGAGCGAGCCAGGAGGCUCCAGCAGCCUCUUGGUGCUCCCUCUCUCUGACAACGCUCCUGCCUCGUUCCUCCCCACAUCCCCAAUCCUUGCACUGAGAUCAUUAACCUUCAGGGCUCCACGAGGGCAGGCAUUGGGUCUGCUUUACUCGCUGCUGGGUCUUCGGAGUCUGGAAGGGUGCCUGGCACGGAGCAGGUGUUCACUCAGUGUGGCCAAAUGUCUGGGUUUUGUCCCAGCGGAACGAAUCACGUGGGAUUUCCUUUGCGGAGCAUACUUUUAACAGGCCAGCCAUGUCCACUCCCGCUUGAGUUGGACACGAUUUAGGCAUAGGGAAAAGGGGCGUUAGUGCCGUCUUGCCACACUCGCCAGCCAGGCCCACUGGCCUCGUCCCUGAGUUUCCCAGGGGAAGUGGGUGCCAGAGACCAUCCAGUGCCCCCACACCCAAUGAGUCUGUCGACUGAGUGCCGCAACCAGGUCCCAGCUAGGGGCCCGCAGGCUGCCCUUGGCCUGGGACACCAUUGCGUUUUCCCGCAGGACCUGCCCACCGCUGACCUACCGCAUCCGCUGCUGGCCUCCACCUGCUAGCCCAGGCCAGGGCCCAGGGUGUGGGUGCUGGACACGUCGAGGGGCACAGGGAGCCAAGACUGCCUCAUCCAAGCCCCAGAGCCUGCAGCUAACAAGCUAACAGGGAGACGCUAUCUGGACAUGUGGCCAAGUUACACUCUUGGGAACGUCAUGGAAAAUCCCAGCAGAAGUCUAAGAAAGGAUCUAGAUCCAGCUCCUUGAACCCAGCCAGCACUGGGUUAUCUUCCCGCUUUGCGAAAUUUGUCCUGUUUUCAUUUCCUUGUCAGCAAGAUUGAAUUUUUUUUUUGUAUGUUCCUAACCCAUCUAUAUUUUGUUUUCUGGAAAUUUUCUAUUUGUAUCCUUUGUCAAUAUUUUUUUUACCAG